rnacentral:miRNA from 1 species
AUGGGAGUUGCGAUAUUCUUC